GCACAUGCAUGGAAGGUCUGUUAGGUGGCCAGGUCUUCCCAUCUGCACUCUCCCCCACGGCCUAGAGUCCCUCCUGGACUUCAUCCACUGCCACGACCCUGGAGCUCUCCUUUAGACAAGAGGUACUAAGCUAUGGUGUUGUCAUGCUAGGGCCAUCAUAAAUGAAAUUUAGAGUGCAUGCCUCCUGCUAUCUCAGAACCAUUUUUAAGAGCAAGGAAAGGAAGACCGAUUUCAAAGGCUACCAGAACUGUUGUUAGCAGCAGGUGGAGUACACCUUCAGUGAACCUCAGUGGCCCCAUCUGUAAAAUGGGAACAACUUCAGAGGUCCGUAAGGAACUAGAGUUUAGGAUUGUACCCAGUGAGCAACAAACUGAAGUGAAACACUUCCUAUCUCUCACCAAUGGACUUGACAAACAUUAAAUAAAGAUGUAUCUAACACACCCAGAGGUGGAGAGACUCACACAGCAGCUCAUGAACUUCCUGCCUGGUCACAAUGGUGAUCCCAUGUUCAGUUGGCCUGAAGACAGCAAGGAGAGGAAACACACCAGGCACGCCCGCCCCCUCUUCUCUGUGGGAGGAAGUAGCUGAGGAUAUCCUGUCUCUAGGAAGCCUAUUUAGAGGCAGCCAGAAUUCAUCUAGCUUGGCUCUGCAUUUCCUAGGGCAUUCCUAGGGCAUACCUCUGGGUGGGAUGAAAACAUCACCACAUCGGGAUCUGCCUAUAUCAGACACUGAUCCUUUGGCAGGGCAGGAGAGGCCCCGAUUCACAGCUAUUAUAUCCAACUAUGCCUGUGUCAGGACUCCCAAAGCCCUGCUUCUCUCUACCCAAGACACCCAGCCGACUUAGGCUGGUAUGAGCCUACAUCUGCCCCUCCCUCUCUGAAUUCUCAGAUCUUCCAAAGAGAAAACUGAGUGGUGACUGCUCCUGCCUCGUCUAGGACCCACUGUGCAGAGUGCCUCGCCUGUCACUCUUCAUCUGGCUGGUUCCUGCUUCCCUCCACCCCUCUCAUCCCACCUACGUUGCAGGCUUGAGUUAAGAGUUGCACAGCAUCAUCAAAACCAAGGAAAUUCCAAAGGACCAGGGUCGGAGCAACCCUGAGGGAGGCUGCAUCCAGACACUCUUGAAUUCUCUUAACCGACCACCUGCCUUCCCCUACCCUCCAGAGCCUGCUGCAUGGCAACUCUACAGAAGGGACUUUUGGAGACACAUCAGAGCCCUGAAGAAAGCUUGGGUUUCAAAGCCUAGACUUGAGCCAUGGAUUUCACCAUCUACUGGGCAGCUGGCUAGAGAAGGCAAACUGAGAGUGCCUUGGAAGCCCCACCUGUGGAAGCAAGCCCCAGCAAUAGGGGCGCCCGCAUCAAAGGCACAGCCCUGGGCUGCUGGAUAGCCAACGCUGUCAGAGUCUAUCACUUUCCUAUCAGGUUGGAGCACUUUCACCCAACCUGCACGGAGGUAGCAGGGGCUCUACCUAUGUGUGCCAGGGUGCAGCACCAUACUUUGUCAGUACGGCACAUGUAAAUAACUCUCAGCCUCGAAUACAGCAAUUGAAUUUCAGAGAGGCUAAGACAUGUGUGCAAAGCCAGGAAAAGUCGGAGUGAACCCACACCACAGCCUGCCUCCAAAGCUUGCCUGACUGAAAAUGUGGUUAUCUAUGUUGAAUCGUCCCUGCCAGACUACAGUGUGUACAAGAAGAGCCCAGAGUCCUACUUGCUGGUCCUAACUUAAGAAAAGAUGGACAGGGUAGCUGAGCAGAGGGACUGACAUCUUUCCCCUGAGCCUCACUGCCCUGAAGUGGGGGAUGCUAAUCAUCUACAUCUGUGAAUGCCCGAUGUGGGACAUGGCCAUCCAUGGGGCAGGUGGCUACCCAUGCAAGAGCCCUGCUGGAGAAGGACUUAGGCCUGGGAGCCUUAUGUGGGAGAUGUGACUUCAGGUAACUUCACCGGAUUCACCGCCUGCAAGAGUUUUUACAUAAGACUGGAAGGUUAGGUGUAUUCCUUCAGAAGAGAAUAACAGAGGGGUGGAGAGAACAUUCUUCAGUGAAGAGCCUGCUGGAGCAUUCAGUCACUGAUGGGUAAUUCUGAAAGCCAAUAAAGACCCCAGUGCUACAGAGAUGCUCUGAAGCCAUCUGAAGCCUGGGCGUCCUCCUGUCUGCCAGCUCUAACUGCAGAGCUGCCUUCAAAGCCUUACUAAAUGGCAGCCCUCCUAAGCACACCCUGGGUUUUAGGGGGUGGGGGUGGGAUAGUGUGUGAUACAAAUUGUCUGGGUGACAGGCAAGGAAGGACACAGACAGCAGACUCGAAGGCCCCAGCUGCUGCUAUGACUCGCUCAGCCAGGAGCAUUUGCUUCCACAUUAGCCAGGGCUCAAAGGCAGCUGGCUCUGUUUCAUUUGCACAUUCAAACGCGUGGUCCCCCAUCCCUGCACUAAAACCCUGUUCACAAUGCCCCACUCCCACCCCUGCACAUAAUAGCAUCUGAGUGUGCCUGCUUUGUAUGGGCUGCCCUGGUGAAUACGCACGGGCAUGGCAUUGUUCAGGGUGUUGUUGUAGACACAGGCGCGCAGUGAAUAAUCCAGCAUGCAAUUUUCAAACAGCUGCAGAGCCUCCAUCACUUUCUCGUGGAAGUCAUCUGCAGAUUUAUUUGAACUUGCAAAGUAGAGAUAGUCUGAGUACAACCUGUGAAUAAAAUAAAUGGAUAAUCUUACCAUUAGAGGGUGUGAAACCGCACCAUGUGGGCGACAAUGAAAAUCAGCUUGCCAUUCCAUUAGCUAGUUUGAUUUAUUAAAAUACAACAAUUUUCUUCCCUUUCUUUCAAAUGAGCCCCCUCCCCCCUCCCUUCUUGCUUCCACCUGUAACAUACCACCUACCCUUCCCUCUCAGGUACAUCUACACUGCCCCAAAACACUAACCAAUACUGUAUUUUGUUAUUAGUUUGUGAUUUUUUUCUCUCUUUUUUCUUUUGUUAAAUUUAUUUUAUUUAUUAGCGGAGUAUGGGGAGGUCAUGCAAAAGCCACAGCACAGGUGUGGAGACCAGACAACAGCUCCGUGCAGUCAGGUCUCUCCUUCCACCUUUACACAGGUCCCAGAGAGGAAAGUUGUGCUCAGGCUUGUUGCUAGGUCACCUUGCCUACCUACAUUUGCUUUAAAAAGCAAACCAACCAACCAAACAAGAACAAAAACCCCACAGUUAUUUUUGGGGAGUAGAGGUGGCAUAGCAUGUCACAGCAUACAUGAAGAGGUCAGAGGACAAGAUGUGGUUCUCUCCAUCCACCACAUAUGUGAAGAGAUUGAACUCUGGCUGCUCACCUCGGCAGAAGGAACUAGACUCACUGAGCCAUCUUACCUUGCUGUUUAAAAUUCCUUCUAGUUACCUCAGAAAGAGACUGUCUCCACAGCCAGGUUUAAAAGUCACUCCACAGCCAAGAGAAGCCAUGAAAAACAUUCUGUACUGUACCCUUCUCUUAAGGGGAACACUGGGGACCUGCCAUCCAUGCAGGAUUACAGCCCCACACGAAAUUCCUGACUUUUCCCAUUGAUAUUCUGAACGUCUAAAGUUACAUUUAAAACUGUGCAUAGCGGCUCAUGCCUGUAAUCCCUAUUUAGGAGGCAGAGGUAGGGGAUCACUGAAGUUGGAGGUCUGGAGGGAUAGGUAGCAACUUCUCUGGCCAAUUUUGGAUACAGUAUAAAAACCCUGUCUCAAAAUGGAAUAAAACCCUCCACACAGACAUGUAAACCUAUGCAGACCGGUAUGUCCGUGAAUCCGAGCAGACACCACGAAUAUGUGCAUUUGCAUGUAACCACAUUUUCCACAGGAGUUGCCAGUCUCCUUUGACAGUUACUGGUCGGUUUUUAUGUUUGCAAUGUGCCAAUGUUAGCAAUGUUUCCUUGCUGUUAAAGGAAAUGUUAUGAAUGGUGCAGACCUGUGAUCCUAGCACUCAUGGGUGCUAAGGAAGAAAGAUCUUGAGUUCAAAGCCAACGUUGAGUUCAAGGUCAGAUUUGACUACAUAUCUAGACCCCUGGGACAGGGAGGAGAGAAAACUCAUGGAAGGCAAUUAGCUCCUUCAACUAAAUAAAUCUGUUGAAGUUUUGGUUAUAGACAUCGCUAAGCUGGUUUGGCUAUAACCCACCCCCUACUCCCAAGCCUUGACCACCCCCUGAUCCUCUGACAUCGAGGCUCCUAGCCCAGCGGAUGUCUAGCUUGCUGAGUGAGGAAUCCUGGUGUAGCAGUUUAGCCAGGCUCCCUCUUACCCUCAAUGUUCCCCAUUAGUGACUCUCAGCUCCUAGCCCUGCUUCCUGCUUAUAAAUUCCCACUUCUGAGCUCAGUGGCUCUCCUCUGCAGCAAAGCACCCCCUCCCAGCCCCCACACCGCUCCAUCACGGCAGUCCUACACCUCUGGCAACAGCCGGAAAUGAAGUCUGUCUGAAUGUUUCAGCAGAUGUUAGGAUAAUUUCUUCACUUUGAGAACUCCUGGCACGUGUUUCCUACUCCCUUUCUGCUUGCAGAGAGAGUAAGAAUUACCCCCUUUCCGCUUUGUUUUUCCAGAUGUUUCUCUCCCCACUCCUCCUGCAAACACCUGCCCAUAGGAGUUCCCCUAGCUCCAUAGGACUCCCUUCAUGAAACCCUAGCUGUCACCUCCUACCAAGAGUGAUGCUGGGCUGUGGCCCCAAGCAGCACUCCAUGUCCCCAUGUCCUCAUGUCCCCAUAUCCCAUGUCCACUGAGCUACACGCAUGCUACAGAGGCCAUGGCCCCUGACAGGCCUGCUGCAGAGCACUUUUGUUAUUCUCACAAUGGAUGACACCAUAACAACCCAGGCGACAUUUCAUAGGGGUCUUAUUUACCUCACCCUUACCUGGCACAAUGUCCCUGAGUAUUCUUUUACGAUGUCUUGGGUGUUUGGGGUUACUCAGAGGUUGCCUAAAAUCAGGACACAGGUUGAAAGAGCGCUUUGCUUAUUUCAGCUUGGCCAGGCUAGCAUUUCAAAAGACCUUGCCUUAGGCUAGCAAGAUGGCUCAGUAGAUAAAGAUAAGUGCCACCUAGCCUGUCAAUCUGAGAUCAAUCCCUGGGACCUAGGUCGUGGGUAAGAGGUGCACACAGAUAAGUGCUGGAGAAGCCAGGAAAGUUAAACAGGCUUGUCUCUUCAGAUAAAGGAGAUGUCUACCUGUCUUCCACCCAGAGUGCUUGGAAAGGCUGUAGCUUACAACAUGACGGUCCCUUGCGAUCUGUAGGACCAGGCUUUACCGGAAUCCCCCAGCAUACUAAAUUUGUUUAUACAAGAAUCUUUCCCAAAUCUUGAACACUGUUUCUCAGUUCAUAAAACCCAUUCUUAUGAGCGAUGGCACUUGUAUUUUACAAUGGUCUAAGUAACUUCUCUGCUAUCUCAGGGCGAGGGCAAUCCUGACUCCCACAGGUAAUAUGUUUACCUCAAUCAUUCUUCAACCCUUAUCUUAAGCAUUGUUUCUAAGUCAACAGCACCUAUCUUUCAGGAAGAAGCCAUAUGUACUUUGUAAAAAGUUUCAAUAUAAAUAAAUCCUAAGCUUUGCUGUACACAGGG